rnacentral:rRNA from 1 species
UGGGGAAUAUUGCACAAUGGGGGAAACCCUGAUGCAGCGACGCCGCGUGAAUGAAGAAGGUAUUCGUAUCGUAAAGUUCUGUCCUAUGGGAAGAUAAUGACAGUACCAUAGAAGAAAGCUCCGGCUAAAUACGUGCCAGCAGCCGCGGUAAUACGUAUGGAGCGAGCGUUGUCCGGAAUUAUUGGGCGUAAAGGGUACGCAGGCGGUUUAAUAAGUCGAAUGUUAAAGAUCGGGGCUCAACCCCGUAAAGCAUUGGAAACUGAUAAACUUGAGUAGUGGAGAGGAAAGUGGAAUUCCUAGUGUAGUGGUGAAAUACGUAGAUAUUAGGAGGAAUACCAGUAGCGAAGGCGACUUUCUGGACACAAACUGACGCUGAGGUACGAAAGCGUGGGGAGCAAACAGG